rnacentral:SRP_RNA from 1 species
GCCAGUGGUGCAUGCCUGUAGUUCCAGCUACUUGGGAGGCUGAGGUGGGAGGAUCGCUUCAGCCCAGGAGUUCUGAGCUGUAGUGCACUAUGCUGAUCAGGUGUUCACACUAAGUUUGGCAUCAAUUUGGUGACCCCCUGGGAGCGGGGGACCACCAGGUUGCCUAAGGAGGGGUGAACUGGCCCAGGUCAGAAAUGGAGCAGGUCAAAACUCCUGUGCUGAUCAGUAGUGGAUCACGCCUGUGAAUAGCCACUGCACUGCAGCCUGGACAACAUAGCAAGACCUCAUCUCU